UACGUAGGGCGCAAGCGUUGUCCGGAAUUAUUGGGCGUAAAGAGCUCGUAGGCGGUCUGUUACGUCCGCUGUGAAAACCCAGGGCUUAACCCUGGGCUUGCAGUGGAUACGGGUAGACUAGAGGCAGGUAGGGGAGAAUUGAAUUCCCGGUGUAGCGGUGAAAUGCGCAGAUAUCGGGAGGAACACCGGUGGCGAAGGCGGUUCUCUGGGCCUGACCUGACGCUGAGGAGCGAAAGCGUGGGGAGCGAACAGG
rnacentral:rRNA from 1 species